GGGGCUGCAGCUCAGCGGCAGAGCAUCUGCUUGGAAUGCAGAAGGUCACAGGUUCAAUCCCUGGCUGCAUCU
rnacentral:tRNA from 1 species